rnacentral:rRNA from 1 species
UGGGGAAUUUUGGACAAUGGGGGCAACCCUGAUCCAGCCAUGCCGCGUGCGGGAAGAAGGCCUUCGGGUUGUAAACCGCUUUUGUUCGGGAAGAAAAGGCUUCCUCUAAUACAGGGGGUUCUUGACGGUACCGGGAGAAUAAGCACCGGCUAACUACGUGCCAGCAGCCGCGGUAAUACGUAGGGUGCGAGCGUUAAUCGGAAUUACUGGGCGUAAAGCGUGCGCAGGCGGUGAGUUAAGUCUGAUGUGAAAGCCCCGGGCUCAACCUGGGAACGGCAUUGGAAACUGGCUCGCUGGAGUGUGGCAGAGGGGGGUGGAAUUCCGCGUGUAGCAGUGAAAUGCGUGGAGAUGCGGAGGAACACCGAUGGCGAAGGCAGCCCCCUGGGCCAACACUGACGCUCAGGCACGAAAGCGUGGGGAGCAAACA